CCUACGGGGUGCAGCAGUGAGGAAUAUUGGUCAAUGGACGAGAGUCUGAACCAGCCAAGUAGCGUGAAGGAUGACUGCCCUAUGGGUUGUAAACUUCUUUUAUAUGGGAAUAAAAUGUUCCAUGUGUGGGAUUUUGUAUGUACCAUAUGAAUAAGGAUCGGCUAACUCCGUGCCAGAAGCCGAGGUAAUACGGAGGAUCCGAGCGUUAUCCGGAUUUAUUGGGGUUAAAGGGAGCGUAGGUGGAUUGUUAAGUCAGUUGUGAAAGGUUGCGGCUCAACCGUAAAAUUGCAGUUGAAACUGGCAGUCUUGAGUACAGUAGAGGUGGGCGGAAUUCGUGGUGUAGCGGUGAAAUGCUUAGAUAUCACGAAGAACUCCGAUUGCGAAGGCAGCUCACUGGACUGCAACUGACACUGAGGCUCGAAAGUGUGGGUAUCAAACAGGAUUAGAUACCCCAGUAGUC
rnacentral:rRNA from 1 species